rnacentral:rRNA from 1 species
AGCUCCAAUAGCGUAUAUUAAUGUUGUUGCAGUUAAAAAGCUCGUAGUUGGAUUUCGAAUGGGAGCGGUGGGUCGGGUCCGCAAGGGCUCGUUACCUGAUUCGUCUCCGGUUCUUUUUCGGGAUAUUCUGGCGUGGCUGGCAUUGAGUUGUCGGUGGCGUCGGGCCCGUCGUUUACUGUGAACAAAUUAGAGUGUUCAAAGCAAGGUGUGUCUUGAAUACAUUAGCAUGGAAUAAUGAGAUAGGACUUUGGUGGUUUCGGUGAAAGCCGGAUAUUUUGUUGGUUUGCACGCCAAAGUAAUGAUUAAUAGGAGCAGUUGGGGGUAUUCGUAUUCAAUUGUCAGAGGUGAAAUUCUUGGAUUUCUAGAAGACGAACUACUGCGAAAGCAUUUACCAGGGAUGUUUUCA